rnacentral:lncRNA from 1 species
AUGGACCUGCUUGUCUCCUGGAAACAAAACCGGUCACCCACCAUUCGAAUAACCAAGAGACAACAUCUCCCUAAAAAUGAGAAAUCAGGCCCCCCGUGCAGCCCUGCCGUGGUAACACGCGCCUGCCUGCCCCUUUCGGCGCCCAGCCGCGGCAGUAGCGGCGCGCUCAGCGGCAGGGCUCCGCUGUUAGCACGUGUUGAGGUCAGGCCACGUGGAACUGAAUGCCGUUACUUUUGGAAGAACAGAGCCAAAUAUCAAUGCUUUCUUUUCCCUGAAAAUGUAGAGACAGCUGGAGCUGGAUGUGAUGUGUGGGAAUAUGGAGAACGUCUCUGAGCUGCUUUUACAUAAACCUUUUUGGAGAACAGCUAUCGAACCUUUAGAAGGUUCCUGUGCAGAUCACCUCCUUCAGAGAGAUCCCUUGUAGCUACCUCAGGGCCCGUGGCAUGCAGGAGGGGCGUGGGACCACGCUCUGACCCUCCCGGGCUGAUGCUGGUGCUGUCGGAGCUGGCGGCUGUUGCAGUCGGUGAGAAUUAGCUGUCGUCACCUGGGGACUACGAAGGAGGAUUCAUGUCGUUCCCGGACGCAGAAUUCUCUUCUGCAGUUUAAUGAUUUGUUUUAAUGGCAUGUAAACUGACGGAUUGCAGAGCAGUGCUCCAGAGAUAAGCCAUCCAUACACAGUCAGAGUUCUCCCUGGUGAUAAAAGACUCCUUUAACAUAGGAUAAGGAUUACGGCACCUGCUGUAAUCCACUUACCUCUGGGACUGCACAGCACACCUGCCUGGCACGAAGCAGGGUCUGACAUCUCAUUCUGCACGUGGAGCUGGAGCUGCUGUGGGAGUUAUCCCAUGUUCUGGAUUUUGGUAACAGAAGACUGCCCAGGUACUGCCAAUUUGUGAUUAAAGACAUUUGGAGAAGCCCUCCAAAAUUCAGCUUUUUAAGACGUGGGGGGUAGGGGUGGGAGCUUUUAGGUGAGGUAUCAUAAUAAAAACUUUAUUAAUUAGCCGUAUAUUAGAAGA